ACGAACGCUGGCGGCGUGCCUAAUACAUGCCAGUAGAACGCUGAAGGAGGAGCUUGCUUCUCUGGAUGAGUUGCGAACGGGUGAGUAACGCGUAGGUAACCUGCCUGGUAGCGGGGGAUAACUAUUGGAAACGAUAGCUAAUACCGCAUAAUAGUAGAUGUUGCAUGACAUUUACUUAAAAGGUGCAAUUGCAUCACUACCAGAUGGACCUGCGUUGUAUUAGCUAGUUGGUGGGGUAACGGCUCACCAAGGCGACGAUACAUAGCCGACCUGAGAGGGUGAUCGGCCACACUGGGACUGAGACACGGCCCAGACUCCUACGGGAGGCAGCAGUAGGGAAUCUUCGGCAAUGGACGAAAGUCUGACCGAGCAACGCCGCGUGAGUGAAGAAGGUUUUCGGAUCGUAAAGCUCUGUUGUAAGAGAAGAACGAGUGUGAGAGUGGAAAGUUCACACUGUGACGGUAUCUUACCAGAAAGGGACGGCUAACUACGUG
rnacentral:rRNA from 1 species